rnacentral:rRNA from 1 species
GUUCGAACGCCCCGCAGGGGAGUGGCAGACGGGUGGGUAACGCGUGGGAAUCUACCCAAUUCUUCGGAACAACUGAGGGAAACUUCAGCUAAUACCGGAUGUGCCCUUCGGGGGAAAGAUUUAUCGGAAUUGGAUGAGCCCGCGUUGGAUUAGCUAGUUGGUGGGGUAAAGGCCUACCAAGGCGACGAUCCAUAGCUGGUCUGAGAGGAUGAUCAGCCACACUGGGACUGAGACACGGCCCAGACUCCUACGGGAGGCAGCAGUGGGGAAUAUUGGACAAUGGGCGCAAGCCUGAUCCAGCCAUGCCGCGUGAGUGAUGAAGGUCUUAGGAUUGUAAAGCUCUUUCACCGGUGAAGAUAAUGACGGUAACCGGAGAAGAAGCCCCGGCUAACUUCGUGCCAGCAGCCGCGGUAAUACGAAGGGGGCUAGCGUUGUUCGGAUUUACUGGGCGUAAAGCGCACGUAGGCGGACUAUUAAGUCAGGGGUGAAAUCCCGGGGCUCAACCCCGGAACUGCCUUUGAUACUGGUAGUCUUGAGUUCGAGAGAGGUGAGUGGAAUUCCGAGUGUAGAGGUGAAAUUCGUAGAUAUUCGGAGGAACACCAGUGGCGAAGGCGGCUCACUGGCUCGAUACUGACGCUGAGGUGCGAAAGCGUGGGGAGC